UUGGAGCUCCAGAGAAAUAUUCAAUUUGGAUCAGAUUGUGUUUGGUGUUACUAGCUUCGGUGGUGAGUCAUCUGCCCAUCUAUACAGUUCCUGCUAAAGGAUGAUGGCUGAUUGUGAGGAAGCACGGCAGCUACUUCUCAACAGGAGCCACCGGAGAACGAGAGAACAAGCCACAAGAGAACGACAAUUUCAAAACAGCAAUCCACUUCUACGUAGCAGAUGUCAUAAACUUAAUGAGAAGACAGCAAAAG